rnacentral:rRNA from 1 species
GAUGAACGCUGGCGGCGUGCCUAAUACAUGCAAGUCGAGCGAACGGACGAGAAGCUUGCUUCUCUGAUGUUAGCGGCGGACGGGUGAGUAACACGUGGAUAACCUACCUAUAAGACUUGGAUAACUUCGGGAAACCGGAGCUAAUACCGGAUAAUAUUUUGAACCGCAUGGUUCAAAAGUGAAAGACGGUCUUGCUGUCACUUAUAGAUGGAUCCGCGCUGCAUUAGCUAGUUGGUAAGGUAACGGCUUACCAAGGCAACGAUGCAUAGCCGACCUGAGAGGGUGAUCGGACACACUGGAACUGAGACACGGUCCAGACUCCUACGGGAGGCAGCAGUAGGGAAUCUUCCGCAAUGGGCGAAAGCCUGACGGAGCAACGCCGCGUGAGUGAUAAAGGUCUUCGGAUCGUAAAACUCUGUUAUUAGGGAAGAACAUAUGUGUAAGUAACUGUGCACAUCUUGACGGUACCUAAUCAGAAAGCCACGGCUAACUACGUG